rnacentral:rRNA from 1 species
ACCGGAGCUAAUACCGGAUAAUAUUUUGAACCGCAUGGUUCAAAAGUGAAAGACGGUCUUGCUGUCACUUAUAGAUGGAUCCGCGCUGCAUUAGCUAGUUGGUAAGGUAACGGCUUACCAAUGCAACGAUGCAUAGCCGACCUGAGAGGGUGAUCGGCCACACUGGAACUGAGACACUGUCCAG